UACUCAUCCUGAAGACAAUGAGGUGAAGAUCUUUAUGAUGGUCCUGAGGACCAGAGGAGUUAAUCAUGUAAGUCCCAGUUUGAGUCCAAAGGCCUAAGAAAAAGGGGCUCUGAUGUCUGAGGGUAGGAGAUGAUGGAUGUCCCAGCUCCAGAAGAGAGAAGGGAUUCUCCAUUCUUCAGCCUUUUUGUUCUAUCCAGGCCUUUGAUUAAUCAGAUACUAGUCACUCACAUUGAGGAGGACAAUCUUGUUUACUGGGUUUAUUGAUUCAAAUACUAAUCUCUUCUGGAAACACACUCACAAACACACCCAGAAAUAAUGUUUCACUAGUUUUCUGGACAUCCCAAGUUGACACAUAAAAUUAACCGUCACAUGCGAUGUCUUCACACAUUUUUUGUCAUCAUGACUUGGUGGGCAGGUGCUAAUGGCAUCCAUUUUGUAGAAGUCAGUGAUGCUGCUUAACACCCUACAGUGCACACGGCAGCACAACCCCUGCCCCCAAAACACACACACACACAGACACACACACACACAGAAGUGGCCUCUAGGAGAUAAAAUAGAGCAAGGAAAUGAAUGUUUCCCUAGAGUUUCCAGAAGAGAACCAGCCCCAUUAACCUUUCCUUCUUAGCCUAGAGAGAUCCAUGUUGGACUUCUCGCCUCUUAAAUAAUAAGAUCAUUAAGUGUUGCUUUAAGCUGCUAAGUUUGCAGUCAUUUUUUACACUAACCAUAAGAAACUCACACACUUCCAGAUAAAGAUGUUGCUCUCUUGGCAAUCACUGAGCUGUGACUGUCAGUUUAUUUGUGGAAUGUAAAGGCACUAUAAGGUACUUGUUCUAGAAUUAAUUGUUCG
rnacentral:lncRNA from 1 species